UCCUUCUUAGCUCAGUUGGUAGAGCGCGUCACUAGUAUUUCGUUACCUGCUUUCUACAUAUAUGACGAGGUCAGUCGUUCAAGUCGGCUAGAAGGAA